rnacentral:rRNA from 1 species
UACGUAGGUGGCGAGCGUUAUCCGGAUUUAUUGGGCGUAAAGCGUGCGCAGGCGGUUUGUUAAGUCUAAAAUAAAAGCCCGAAGCUUAACUUCGGUUCGUUUUAGAAACUGGCAAACUCGAGUAUGGUAGAGGCAAAUGGAAUUCCUAGUGUAGCGGUGGAAUGCGUAGAUAUUAGGAGGAACACCAGUGGCGAAGGCGAUUUGCUGGGCCAUUACUGACGCUCAUGCACGAAAGCGUGGGGAGC